rnacentral:rRNA from 1 species
UACGUAGGGGGCAAGCGUUGUCCGGAAUUAUUGGGCGUAAAGAGCGUGUAGGCGGCCAGGUAGGUCUGCUGUGAAAACUCGAGGCUCAACCUCGAGACGUCGGCGGAAACCAUCUGGCUAGAGUCCGGAAGAGGAGAGUGGAAUUCCUGGUGUAGCGGUGAAAUGCGCAGAGAUCUGGAAGAACACCAAUGGCGAAGGCAGCGUCCUGGGAAGUGACUGACGCUCAGGUGCGAAAGCUAGGGGAGCGAACAGG